AUUGAACGCUGGCGGCAGGCCUAACACAUGCAAGUCGAACGGUAACAGGAAACAGCUUGCUGUUUCGCUGACGAGUGGCGGACGGGUGAGUAAUGUCUGGGAAACUGCCUGAUGGAGGGGGAUAACUACUGGAAACGGUAGCUAAUACCGCAUAACGUCGCAAGACCAAAGAGGGGGACCUUCGGGCCUCUUGCCAUCGGAUGUGCCCAGAUGGGAUUAGCUAGUAGGUGGGGUAACGGCUCACCUAGGCGACGAUCCCUAGCUGGUCUGAGAGGAGGACCAGCCACACUGGAACUGGGAGACGGUCCAGGGUCCUACGGGAGGCAGCAGUGGGGAAUAUUGCACAAUGGGCGCAAGCCUGAUGCAGCCAUGCCGCGUGUAUGAAGAAGGCCUUCGGGUUGUAAAGUACUUUCAGCGGUGAGGAAGGGAGUAAAGUUAAUACCUUUGCUCAUUGACAUUACCCGCAGAAGAAGCACCGGCUAACUCCGUGCCAGCCGCCGUAAAAC
rnacentral:rRNA from 1 species